AGUUUGAUCCUGGCUCAGGACGAACGCUGGCGGCGUGCCUAAUACAUGCAAGUCGAGCGAACCUUUGGGAGCUUGCUCCCAAAGGUUAGCGGCGGACGGGUGAGUAACACGUGGGCAACCUGCCUAUAAGACUGGGAUAACUUCGGGAAACCGGAGCUAAUACCGGAUAAUCCCUUUUCUCUCAUGAGGAAAGGCUGAAAGAUGGUUUCGGCUAUCACUUAUAGAUGGGCCCGCGGCGCAUUAGCUAGUUGGUGAGGUAACGGCUCACCAAGGCAACGAUGCGUAGCCGACCUGAGAGGGUGAUCGGCCACACUGGGACUGAGACACGGCCCAGACUCCUACGGGAGGCAGCAGUAGGGAAUCUUCCGCAAUGGACGAAAGUCUGACGGAGCAACGCCGCGUGAGUGAUGAAGGUUUUCGGAUCGUAAAACUCUGUUGUUAGGGAAGAACAAGUACGAGAGUAACUGCUCGUACCUUGACGGUACCUAACCAGAAAGCCACGGCUAACUACGUGCCAGCAGCCGCGGCAAUACGUAGGUGGCAAGCGUUGUCCGGAAUUAUUGGGC
rnacentral:rRNA from 1 species